GGGGGUAUAGCUCAGUGGUAGAGCAUUUGACUGCAGAUCAAGAGGUCCCCGGUUCAAGUCCGGGUGCCCCCU
rfam:Sus scrofa isolate TJ Tabasco breed Duroc chromosome 18, whole genome shotgun sequence.